UUUGUUGCUCGAACUUCCUAGCAUCGGAUCAAUAUGUGACAGAGAAUGUGCGCAAGGAGGAGCAGAACAGCCGUGGUGCAAGACUGACGCGGAGGUGCUCGUCCAUGUGCCACCUGAAGGCAACAUUGAUAGAAGCAGUUAACUGAAUUUACUGAAGAAAGCGACAGCCUUGACUGAAUUUCGCCAGAGAAACACGCUCGACGGACAGCGCCGGCGCCGGUGUGCUGGGAGCAGUGGCGAGGUGUGCAUGCAGUGUAGCAGUGAUGCGCGAAGGGAACAAAUACUACGCGGGCGUGUGUGCAGUGUAUUCGUUUCCUUCUAGGGAUCAUCCCAUUACGUUUUUUGCUCCAUAUCAAUUAGAAUGCCCUUCCAUGAUUAUAUGGAUCUAAUAUUAAUUGAGCAUAUUCCGAUUGAUUUUCUGUUGUGAUGAAAAUGGAUGAUAUCCCACCCUUCCAUUUUUAGUUGCAUUUUCUGUUGGGUGUGAUAUCAAUCACCUUUAAUAAUUGUGUAUUUGUUUCCUUCUAGAAAUCAUCUCAUUCCUUAUUGCUCCAUAUCAAUUACAAUGAUCCUCACGUUGACUCAAUCAUAGUGAUUUAAUUUGUCAUGCUGGCUAUAUAAUUCCCUCCAUAUGCAGCCAGAGCCAACACACAAGUCCUUUCCCUUACCUCAUGGACCACUUGGCCGGUGUCUAGGUUUCUGACGCUGCCAAGCCGCCUCUUCGUCAAGCCCGCUGGACGGCAAACUCCAGGAACAAUAUGUCCGAAGUGUUCGAUCUCCCAAACGGAACUAUCAUUGAUGUUUCCGGCGUCGUGACGUAUGUCGGCCCAGCUGAGGCUGAUUUUUGUGCCCCUAGCGGCAUGAGGGAGAUCGCUAUAGUUGAUAGCGGACACAACACAAUCUUCCUGCGUUUUUUUUGGUGAGUCUGCUUAUCUACUCGGCGAUCAGCUGUUAUCUGCAGAACAGAACAAUGCAGUUGUUGUGGCCUCCAACAUGGAGGUUGUUCAUCAAUCAAGUAAGCUAAUUACUUAUUACUUAUGUACUCAAAUUUAAAUAUUAAAUCCAGAUAUGUUGACUUUAUUGAUUAU